UGGGCCGGGUCCCUGCCCAGCCCUGAGGCCGCCCUGGCAGGCGGAGAGGCCUGUCCUCGUAUCGAAGAAUUUCCAUCGUAUUGGUGGUGCAUGUCUGAGAUUAUGCAGUGAAAGUCAUAUAAGCGGAGAUUCACGUGUAUUUUGGGGCAUGUUGAACUGCUUAAACCUGACCUGCAUGUGACUGCAAAAAUGCACCUGAGAACUACUGAUUUAUGGAGCUGACUGAAGAACUACUUCCCUUCUAAUACAACAGGCAACCACAGCUCUGGAGAUACAUGCUCUGAGGAAACAUUCCCAAACAGCACCACCCACAACUUAGCGCAGAAAAACAACAAAAAAAAAUCUGUGCUCUCCCUUCAGCCUGUCUCAGCAGGAGCUGGCCCAGGGCAGCUGUUCUGCAUGGUGAACUUGAAUGGGAAGACCAAGAGGAAAAGAACAACAGAGGAUGAAGGAGAGAAUAACAAGGAAACAGAAAGAUAUUCCCUGUCAUUUCUGUGACCACCUAAAUGAUGCUCUCACCUACUGGUCUAUUCAAUGCAAGGCGAUUUCUAUCUUCCAAUCUUAUAUGAAGCCUCAUGGUACCAUAAUUAUUCCCUUCAUGUAUUCUCUGGAUAAUGGGAUGUUCAAGAAGAAACCCUUUUCAAAUCCAUUGCCAUUGAAUUUCCUAUAAGGCUUGAAAUGUUUCAAAGGGUCUUUGCUCAAGGAAGACAAAAUGGUUAUCAAAUAGUAACAGAGAGUAUAAAGGCACUGCCAUGGAAAGUUGGGUCAGAUGAAACCAUCUACAACUUUAUAAUUCCUUAUUAGCAAGGUUAUACUGGUCACGGGAUAUGGUCAAGAGCCAAGUCCAGAAGGAAUUUUAUUAAGAGAAGUACAAUUGUCAGGGAUAAGUACAUCCAAAUUUAAAACAACUAGGGAAUUUGACUGUUAAAAGCAUGUAGAGUAGGCACAUCAUUCUAUCACUGAAGUCAGAAUAAAACUGCCCUUGACUGCAACCAGUGGGAGCAGACUAUACUGACAGAUUUGAAAAUGUAAUCCUACAUAUAUAAGGUUCAAGAACAAUUUCUGAAUCCCUGGGAGAGCAUCUCCAAUAAAACCAUGAUCAGAAGUCAUGAAAAUUCUUACCUCAAAUGGACCCUCAAAAUUUGCUGCACUGUGGUUCAUUAUGAACAGAAUAUGAUCAUAACAAGCAAGCUUUCAGUACUCUUUCAUUAUCCUAUUAGAGGAAACAAAAGAUUAAACUGUUCUAAGUAGGAGGACAUUCAGUUUGAAAGUUUCAUUUACUGGAUUUCGACAAGAACAAAAUCUUUGCAACAAGAAUACUGUGCUACUAUUAGGACCUUCUGGACCUGCAUGGACUCAUCUUUCUAUGCAUUCAUUGUCAAUUCACCUUUAACUAGACUGUUACUUUAUGCACCUUUCCAGAGGGAAAUGGAUAAGAAAGAUGGUGCUAGUACAAAUUGGUUAAGAGUCACUAAGGAAAGGGACUUUUGGAAUGAAUAAAUCUUUUUCACAAGAUAUACUGUCUGGAUAGUGGCUGUGCAUUUGCAUCAGAGGAGAGAUCAACUCGGUCUGAAACAAAAGUGCAUAACCUGUCAAGAGAAGAAACAGGAGAACUCCUGUGUGAUAGAUGAUUCCAAGAUUGUCAGAUCUGGGUCAAGAUAUAAAACCAGAGCAGAAGUAGGUGCUUUUAUUAAACAUGAUGCAUUUACAACAUUAAAGACCAACAAUGACUCAAUAGCCAUGGCACUGGUAGAGAAAGCUGUAGUAACAUCAGCCUUUCUGUAUUUGGAGCAGCAAUGUUUCAACAUGCUCUUGCAUAUGGGCAUUACAGGACACAUCUCUUCAAGGCACUGGCUUCAAAGGACUUGAAAAAAUGAAGCAGUAAGAUAGGUCACUGCUUCGCUAUCAUAUGCCAUUAAUCUUCUGAAACAUUGAUAAUUCCUAGCAAAAUCCAGGUUCAGCCAAGCAUUUGGUCUACCAUGGUCAGUAUGUGAUCCUUGGUAACUUCUCUCUGCUGAGGAUUCAGGAAGGGCCUGUUCACAAAGGCCUAUCAGUGACAGAUUUAGAACAGACUCCAUGCCAGUAUUUCACACAACUGAUUUUUCCAGUAUAAAUGGACACAUUAUGCCAUGUAGGAAACUUUAUGCAGUGGAAUUUUAUGAUAAUUCCUACCUUGGCUACGAGAAGGAUGUUUUAUGCAACUCAGUGACUAAAGCAGACUGAAGAGAAAACUGAAGCUCUGAAGAAAGAAAAUGCAAGACAGUUGUUCACAAAGUGAUGAUAGGUGGGAAAAACCAGAUUUAAAUAAGAAGUGAUUAAGAUGAUCUGUUCAGCUUAACAGUAGAUGUUUUAUCUGUACACUGUUUCACAAAAAUCAGUGAAGUUAUUGCCUACAGAACAUAAGUUGGAGCAAAAUCCAGCUCUUUAAGAGUUAAUGUAAUUCUAGGAGAAUCAAGCAAAUUCUGCUUCUGACCCUGUCCGUGAUACAUCAGUCUCCAUCAUUGUGAAGUGGCCUGACCUCUUCCUCCAAGCAGAAUGAUGAAAGACAGCUACUAAAACUACCCACUUUCAGAUCUUGGCUUCUAGAAAAGAGGCAGUUGCCCCUCUUUCUGAGUAAGAAAGCACAGAAGAGAAUUACCAGAAAAGGUCACACUCACCCACAUCUAUGAAAGGGUUCACAGGCUUUUUCAUACCUGGAUAACAUUGGGAAAGGCUCAUCAGGAGAGCCACAGCACUGUACAGUGCCACUGAAGCUUCCAGCCUUUAGUUUGCUGCUGACAAUCUAGGACAAUAAAUGGUGAAAGCAAACACAUCAGGAGCAGUCCUAUUUCUCUUUCCAUUGCUGACACUUAUUCAUAGGUGGGGUCCUCAAAGAGUUCCUUUACACUUCCAGUACAAACACUUACAUGGGUUUUUCCUCCUACCUUAAUUUAGUUUCAAAUAAUAUCCAAAUAAGCCCAUCAGUCUUUUGGAAGGAUGACAAAGAGACUCUAUCUACCAAAAGAGUCACAUAAUGACAUUUGCAGCACAUACUCUUAAACCUGUGUUUUCAUGUAGUGGUUUGGAACGUUUCUCCUACAGAUUGUAAUGCUAAUAUAAAACAUAUUCCUUGAAAGAGGAGAAAAUCUGGUUACAACAGAAAGAAAAUGUAAGCAUAUUUUUGUCUUCUAAAGUAAGGCCAAAGAUGUGAGCUGGAAGUGAAAUACAUAUGGAGGGUCCUCAAGUAAAAAUUAUUUGUAUAACUGAAAAGAGAACAAAAACUGAGUAAGGGAUUGAUAAGAAGCUAUUAGUUCUUUAAUAUUCUGUCAUCUCUUCCUUAAUUGUUAACCUCAGAAUAAGAAAUAUGUUAUACUGUUUAUGUGAAUUUCUUUUCCUGAGAUUAUAUUCAGGUCUGGAAAAGGUGAAGAAAAUCAUGACGUUUUCUCAGUCUAAUAUUUCUGCUCAAUAAUUAAUGGAAGAAAGUGAAAUCUGGAAAGAAACAAAGAAUGAAAUCAAAGCCUAUCCUUUAUCCAGUCUGGGGUUGUUAUCUAUACUGUUGUUCACAAGACAGCAUGCUUUUCAGUAAUGAGCUACUGUUUCAAGCUCAGUGUUUACAGAUCACUACAGUACCAGAGAAAUCUUUCAGUAUUAAAUACACAAUUCUGACUCAUUCCAAGACUCUUCUCAACUGUGCUCAUCAAUGCAUUCCAUGGCAGAGUUCCUUUUGAACUAGCUCAGUACAAAGAUUUUAUUACAACGUACUUGAAUGUGAUUACAGUAACAAUGAAUUGAGAUUUGCAUUAAAUACAAUUUCAUUAAUUGAUCAUAUCCAAUUUGACAAUUUAAAUGCAUUAAUAAAAAUAUUGUACUAGAUGA